UUGAAAUAGUACGAAUCUGCAUAAGCUCAUCUAGAAAAUCAUCAAGCUUCUCAAGUGUUGUUUGGCCUUACCACCUAUGUAGGCGCCGGUCAUAGUAGUCCCUAGAAAUCAUUAAUGGUGAAAAAAAUCCUUGAAAGUGUUGACGUCAGUCAUAGUAGUUCUUAUCUAUGUUUGGUCGUUAGUCCCUGAGACGGAAAAUGCUCAUGUGUCAAGUUAUGUGUCACGUGGGUUUCAAUUUGGUCCCCGACAUUAUCAAUUUAAUCCCUAAGGUUGAAAAAAAUCAAUUAAAAAAUAUUUAAAAAAAAACUAAAAAAAAAAUCAAGCAAUUAUCCUGAAUCUAUCCUCUUUUUUUCUUUCUUCCCAGCAACAUGAACCUUCAUAGCCAAUUUCAGACCAUCAAUUAUACAUUUAAAACAAUUUUGUAUACCAACUAAUUCCUUGAUUGGCCCCACACAAGCACCUUCAUUACAAAGUUCCAUUCACAGCAAAAAAAGUUGUGGUCUCUGUUUUCCCCCCUUUUUAAACCUUCACUUCACACCUUCAUCCAGAGAUAAACAUAGACACCUUCUGUGCAAUCUUCAACUUCUUCCAAACCAAGCUCCGACUAUGGCGGCAGGACUCUCCGCCACCAUAACCAUGAAACCCCUCUUUCGCCGCCACCACCAACCACCGUCGUUCCCCCUCCUCCUCAACCAACCUCCAACACUCUCCUUCUCCUCUCCCCCCCCUGCGAUGUUUUCAUCACAGCUCAACCCCUCGCACCCGACGAAUGACGACGAGCUUCACCGUCUGCGUUCUCAUGGAGGAUCUGGGAGGAUUAAGUUUGGAGUGGUUUAUUAUCUAUCUAUGUGAUCUAGGGUUCAAAAUUGCUCGUCUUUGGUGCUCUCCUGAUUUAUGCUUAUGGUGCUGGUGGCUUUCAUGCUUGGGGCAUUAAUUUGCUGAAUUGGUGUUGUUUUUGCUGAACGAUUGUUGUGAUGUGUGUGUAUUGUGUUGAUUAACACAUUCUUUAUCAAGCCAUUAGAAUAGUUAACUUGUA